rnacentral:rRNA from 1 species
CUUUGUAUACCUACCUCUGUUGCUUUGGCGGGCCGCGGUCUUCCGCGGCCGCCCMCCGCRKWUUGGGGGGUGGCUAGUGCCCGCCAGAGGACUAUCAAACUCCAGUCAGUAAACGUUGCAGUCUGAAAAAAAUAUUAAAUAAACUAAAACUUUCAACAACGGAUCUCUUGGUUCUGGCAUCGAUGAAGAACGCAGCGAAAUGCGAUAAGUAAUGUGAAUUGCAGAAUUCAGUGAAUCAUCGAAUCUUUGAACGCACAUUGCGCCCCUUGGUAUUCCGGGGGGCAUGCCUGUUCGAGCGUCAUUUCAACCCUCAAGCUCUGCUUGGUAUUGGGCACCGUCCUUUGCGGGCGCGCCUCAAAGACCUCGGCGGUGGCGUCUUGCCUCAAGCGUAGUAGAAUACACCUCGCUUCGGAGCGUAAGGCGUCGCCCGCCGGACGAACCUUCUGAACUUUUCUCAAGGUUGACCUCGGAUCAGGUAGGGAAACCCGCUGAACUUAAG